UACGGGGGGGGCAAGCGUUGUCCGGAUUUAUUGGGCGUAAAGAGCGUGUAGGCGGCCAGACAGGUCAGCUGUGAAAACUCGAGGCUCAACCUCGAGACGUCGGUUGAAACCGUCUGGCUAGAGUCCGGAAGAGGAGAGUGGAAUUCCCGGUGUAGCGGUGAAAUGCGCAGAUAUCGGGAAGAACACCCGUGGCGAAGGCGGCUCUCUGGGACGGUACUGACGCUGAGACGCGAAAGCGUGGGGAGCGAACAGG
rnacentral:rRNA from 1 species